GCUGGGCAUGGUGGCGCAUGCCCAUAAUCCCAGUGGCUCAAGAGGCUGAGGCAGGAGGAUCGUGAGUUCAAAGCCAGGCUCAGCAAAAGCGAGGUGCUGAGCAACUCAGUGAGAUCCUGUCUCUA
rnacentral:sRNA from 1 species